rnacentral:rRNA from 1 species
UGGGGAAUAUUGCACAAUGGGCGAAAGCCUGAUGCAGCAACGCCGCGUGAGUGAUGAAGGCCUUCGGGUUGUAAAGCUCUGUCUUCUGGGACGAUAAUGACGGUACCAGAGGAGGAAGCCACGGCUAACUACGUGCCAGCAGCCGCGGUAAUACGUAGGUGGCAAGCGUUGUCCGGAUUUACUGGGCGUAAAGGAUGCGUAGGCGGAUACUUAAGUCAGAUGUGAAAAUCCCGGGCUUAACUUGGGAACUGCAUUUGAAACUGGGUAUCUAGAGUGCGGGAGAGNAAAGUGGAAUUCCUAGUGUAGCGGUGAAAUGCGUAGAGAUUAGGAAGAACACCAGUGGCGAAGGCGGCUUUCUGGACUGUAACUGACACUGAGGCAUGAAAGCGUGGGGAGCAAACA